rnacentral:rRNA from 1 species
AUUGAACGCUGGCGGCAUGCCUUACACAUGCAAGUCGAACGGUAACAGAUCUUCGGAUGCUGACGAGUGGCGAACGGGUGAGUAAUACAUCGGAACGUGCCUAGUAGUGGGGGAUAACUACUCGAAAGAGUGGCUAAUACCGCAUGAGAUCUACGGAUGAAAGCAGGGGAUCGCAAGACCUUGUGCUACUAGAGCGGCCGAUGGCAGAUUGGGAAGUUGGGGGGAUAAAAGCUUACCAAGCCGACGAUCUGUAGCUGGUCUGAGAGGACGAUCAGCCACACUGGGACUGAGACACGGCCCAGACUCCUACGGGAGGCAGCAGUGGGGAAUUUUGGACAAUGGGCGCAAGCCUGAUCCAGCAAUGCCGCGUGCAGGAUGAAGGCCUUCGGGUUGUAAACUGCUUUAGUACGGAACGAAAAGCCCUGGGUUAAUACCCUGGGGUCAUGACGGUACCGUAAGAAUAAGCACCGGCUAACUACGUGCCAGCCGCCGCCGUAACAC